rnacentral:rRNA from 1 species
GAUGAACGCGGGCGGCGUGCCUAAUACAUGCAAGUCGAGCGAACGGACGAGAAGCUUGCUUCUCUGAUGUUAGCGGCGGACGGGGGAGUAACACGUGGAUAACCUACCUAUAAGACUGGGAUAACUUCGGGAAACCGUAGCUAAUACCGGAUAAUAUUUUGAACCGCAUGGUUCAAAAGUGGAAUACGGUCUUGCGGUCACUUAUAGAUGGAUCCGCGCUGCAUUAGCUAGUUGGUAAGGUAAUGGCUUACCAAGGCAACGAUGCAUAGCCGACCUGAGAGGGUGAUCGGCAACACUGGAACUGAGACACGGUCCAGACUCCUAAGGGAGGCAGCAGUAGGGAAUCUUCCGCAAUGGGCGAAAGCCUGACGGAGCAACGCCGCGUGAGUGAUGAAGGUCUUCGGAUCGUAAAACUCUGUUAUUAGGGAAGAACAUAUGUGUAAGUAACUGUGCACAUCUUGACGGUACCUAAUCAGAAAGCCACGGCUAACUACGUG